ensembl:lncRNA
ACCGCGGAUUCACCCCAGCGGCGAGGGAUCUUCGGCAGCGCGUCCCUCCUUCCUCCCGGGUUUCGGCACCAGUGUAACGAUAAAAACUCCAUAAUGACGGGAAGAAGGAGGCGGGAACCGGCGAACAUUCAAAUAAAUCUUUAAUGACAAAAUAAAUACAAAACAGCGCGACAGCCCCUCACGGGCGACUGCCGCGCAUAAACAAAACCCAAACACAAAAUAAAACCCAGGCCUGGUCCUCUCUCGUCCUUCACUGUCGUCGCUCCUCUUUUGUAUCCUCCCGAUCUCCUCCGUGGGACUCGAGACCGGUGAGUGGAGCAGGUGUUGCUCAUUUCCCAAUCACUCCACCGGCCUCGCUCCGUUCCCACGGCUCUCGGCCCCGCCCCACUCGUCACAAUAUUGUAAUAAUAUUUAGCAAUAUUAGACUUGUCUGUAUGUUUUAUAAAAUAAUUGCAGCCUCGGGGAGCAUAAGAGAAUCUUGUGUUUCUGUAAAGUUAUACAUAUUUAAAACAACAUGAGGGUGAGUCCAUUUUGAAUGAACUUUCAUUCAUUUUGCUCUUUUGAUUUGGACAUGCAAGCCACCAUUUAGCCACCUUAGCAACUGCUUAGUGUCACGGUAGGAAAUCCAUUGGUUCCUCCGUGUCAUGUUUUGUGUUUGUUUUUGUACUCACGUAGUCUCCAUGUGCUCGUUUGGUUGAUUGUUGUCACCUGUGUGUUGAUUGUCUCGCUCCAGCUGAUCCUCAUCUCCACUCAGCUACAUAAACUCACUCAUCUCUCUGUCUGUUGUCAGAUCCUCAUUCAUGUCUCAGCUUCCCAGUUGGAUUACCGUCUCCCGUGUUCUGGAUUGUGUUCGUGUUGUCGUCUUCGUGUGAGUGUUCCGGUCUGUUCCUGGUUUCAUCCAUCGACCGCCUUCACAUUCACCACCGACUUCACCAUCAGCACUUCUCACGCCACCGUAGACCUUCUCUCACCAUUGCCUACAUACUGGACUCUAUUAUCAAUAAACUUCUUCUGAUUGCCUGCAUUUGCCUCCUCCUCUGUUACGAGCCAUCACACUUAGCAACAAACUAAAAAUGCUUUACCAUUCGCAUGCCACUGUCCGGUGUCCAUGACAACGUCAUAGUGUCGUUGUGGCCAAUUUUGCAUUAACAAACACCACUAAUUACAUUUUUAUUUCACAGUUUUUGUGAAAAUCUAAAUCUUUUACUUUUCCUGCAGGAACAUAAUGAGGUGGCAGCUGUAUUUUGUCUGUCCUUACAGGAGAACUGAUCAACAAUUGAUAUUCCUGAAGUCUUUUCCUAAUAAAUGCAUAGAUGUCCAAAACCUGCUGAUUAAU